rnacentral:rRNA from 1 species
AUACAUGAGCAAAAUCUCAACUUUAUUAGAAGAGACGCAUUUAUUAGAUAAAAAGCCAAUGCAUGCUUUUACAGUAUGAAAAUUGGUGAUUUAUAAUAACUUAGCAAAUCGCAAAGUGAAAACAGGCGAUAAAUCAUUCAAGUUUCUGACCUAUCAGCUUUCGACGGUAUGGUAUUGGCUUACCGUGGCAGUGACGGUUAACGGGGGAUUAGGGUUCGAUUCCGGAGAGGGAGCCUGAGAAACGGCUACCACAUCUAAGGAAGGCAGCAGGCGCGCAAAUUACCCAAUUCUAACAGUUUGAGAGAGGUAGUAACAAGAAAUAACAAUACAAGGCAGUUAAAAUGCUUUGUAAUUGGAAUGAUAGAAAUUUAAACCCUUUUUAAAGUAUCAAUUGGAGGGCAAGUCUGGUGCCAGCAGCCGCGGUAAUUCCAGCUCCAAUAGCGUAUAUUAAAAUUGUUGCAGUUAAAAAGCUCGUAGUUGAAGUUCUGCUAAAAGUAACCGGUCUGCUUUGAAUAAAAGUGGUAUCUUGGUAUGUAUUUAGCAAUGAUGUCCUUUGAAGUGUUUUUUACUUUAUUGUAAUAAAGCAUAUUCAGGACUUUUACUUUGAGAAAAUUAGAGUGUUUCUAGCAGGCCAACGCUUUGAAUACUGCAGCAUGGAAUAAUAAG